rnacentral:rRNA from 1 species
AUUGAACGCUGGCGGCAUGCCUUACACAUGCAAGUCGAACGGUAACAGGUCUUCGGAUGCUGACGAGUGGCGAACGGGUGAGUAAUACAUCGGAACGUGCCCGAUCGUGGGGGAUAACGAAGCGAAAGCUUUGCUAAUACCGCAUAAGAUCUACGGAUGAAAGCAGGGGACCGCAAGGCCUUGCGCGAACGGAGCGGCCGAUGGCAGAUUAGGUAGUUGGUGGGAUAAAAGCUUACCAAGCCGACGAUCUGUAGCUGGUCUGAGAGGACGACCAGCCACACUGGGACUGAGACACGGCCCAGACUCCUACGGGAGGCAGCAGUGGGGAAUUUUGGACAAUGGGCGAAAGCCUGAUCCAGCCAUGCCGCGUGCAGGAUGAAGGCCUUCGGGUUGUAAACUGCUUUUGUACGGAACGAAAAGACGCUGGUUAAUACCUGGUGUCCAUGACGGUACCGUAAGAAUAAGCACCGGCUAACUACGUG